rnacentral:rRNA from 1 species
UACGUAGGUGGCAAGCGUUGUCCGGAUUUAUUGGGUUUAAAGGGUGCGUAGGCGGUUUUCUAAGUCAGUGGUGAAAUACGGCAGCUCAACUGUCGAGGGGCCAUUGAUACUUGGAGACUUGAGUACUGAUGAGGUAGGCGGAAUGGACGGUGUAGCGGUGAAAUGAGUAGAGAUCGUCCAGAACACCGAUAGCGAAGGCAGCUUACUAAGGAGUAACUGACGCUGAGGCACGAAAGUGUGGGGAUCAAACAGG